UGGGGAAUAUUGCACAAUGGGCGCAAGCCUGAUGCAGCCAUGCCGCGUGUGUGAAGAAGGCCUUCGGGUUGUAAAGCACUUUCAGCGGGGAGGAAGGCGUUAAGGUUAAUAACCUUGGCGAUUGACGUUACCCGCAGAAGAAGCACCGGCUAACUCCGUGCCAGCAGCCGCGGUAAUACGGAGGGUGCAAGCGUUAAUCGGAAUUACUGGGGGUAAAGCGCACGCAGGCGGUCUGUCAAGUCGGAUGUGAAAUCCCCGGGCUCAACCUGGGAACUGCAUUCGAAACUGGCAGGCUAGAGUCUUGUAGAGGGGGGUAGAAUUCCAGGUGUAGCGGUGAAAUGCGUAGAGAUCUGGAGGAAUACCGGUGGCGAAGGCGGCCCCCUGGACAAAGACUGACGCUCAGGUGCGAAAGCGUGGGGAGCAAACAGG
rnacentral:rRNA from 1 species